GGUAACCGCCGCCAGGCUCGGGGCGGGCGGGGACUGCGGCCAUCAGGCGCCUGCGGGGGACAGAGCGGCCUGUAGGCGGCCGGGCCCAGCGGUGAGUACGGGCGCUCCCCACGCGUGGGGGUACCUCAGCCGGCGGCUCUCGGGCUGGGCUGGGUUUUUCCAAGCCUGUUUCUGUUUGCCUAGAGCAUCUCGGGAGAAGCUGCGCAGAGGGCUGCCAGCCCGGGCCUCGGUGAGGACCGGCCCCCCUGCCGCACCCAUAAUUGGGAGAACCUGGGAGAAGGCUACCUUAUUAUUGCCCUCUCCAAGCGAGCAUGACGGAGGGCUGAGCCUCGCUACCGGGCGGCCUCGCCUGCGCAGUCCCGCCCCGCGCCCACCACAGGGAACCGGAGCCGCUGCGGGAGCACCGGGAGAGCGGCAGCGCAGGGGAGUAGCCGAGUAGCAGACAGGCUCAGGGUGAGCCGGGGCAAGGAGCAUGGCCCCCACAUGGGCCAUGCCAGGGGACACCGACACAGGAAGAUGAGCCUGGGUGAGGAGCAGAGCCCCAACACAGGCAGCGCUGGGGGACACCAACAUGGGAGGAAAUGUCUGGUACGGAGGAGACACUGAUGCCACCUUGCCUGUGUCCACCUGCCCCGAAGAUCCGGGGGGACCCCACCUCACUGCUGCCCUUCGGAAUGGGAGUGGGAGAGACCCUCUGUGCAGAGAGAGGCAUUUGGCAUGUAUUUAAUCCCUGAUGGAAGAGGCAGGCUCCCUGCUGCGAUCAGGCCUGCCUGUGCCUGAUGCUGGGCAGCCUGCCUUGUGCCAGCUCCCGCUGCGAGAUGUUCCUGCUAAUAGUCACUCCUUCCUGUUACUGGUGCAGGUAAGCACCUUACCAGAGGCUACACGUUCGCCAGUUCUAUGGUGCUGAGAGUGCAGCCCUCGCACACGGAUGUCACAGCUCCAGCUAAUGGACACUCCAGCUGUAUUCCAGUUUUGGAUAAGAGAUGCUCCUGCUGACAGACUCUCCAGUGUUUCACUGACCGGGGCUUUGAAGCGCAGAACACCUUCGCUUCCUGCUCAUUGUUUCAAGUAAUUUCAGUUCUACCUCUUGGACUCCGCAGUUUGUUGAAGUGAUGAUUCCUCUUCUUACCUGCUCUGGCUUAAAAUAUACUAUUGCUUUUUGCAUGCCAAUUCAACUUUCAGCAAGUUUGGCUUUUUGCAAAGUUGUAAAUAAAUCACUGUCAUAAUGGUACGUUGUUUAAAUAUGGAGUAAUAACUAUCCUUAAGCAUACCUUGAAUAAAGAGGAAAAAAAAGGCCUGAAAAGUGCUGUUUCGC